CGCACAAGCGGCGGAGCAUGUGGUUUAAUUCGAUGCAACGCGAGGAACCUUACCAAGGCUUGACAUGUACGAGAAAGCCCCAGAGAUGGGGUUCUCUUUGGACUCUCGUACACAGGUGGUGCAUGGUUGUCGUCAUCUCGUGUCGUGAGAUGUUGGGUUAAUUCCCGCAACAAGCGCAACCCUUGUCCCAUGUUGCCAGCGGGUUAUGCCGGGGACUCAUGGGAGACUGCCGGGGUCAACUCGGAGGAAGGUGGGGAUAACAUCAAAUCAUCUUGCCCCUUAUGUCUUGGGCUUCACGCAUGCUACAAUGGGCGGGACACAGGGCUGCGAUACCGGGAGGUGGAGCGAAUCCCAAAAAGCCGGUCUCAGUUCGGAUCGGGGUCUGCAACUCGACCCCGUGAAGUCGGAGUCGCUAGUAAUCGCAGAUCAGCAACGCUGCGGUGAAUACGUUCCCGGGCCUUGUACACACCGCCCCGUAUA
rnacentral:rRNA from 1 species